rnacentral:rRNA from 1 species
UUUUAUGAGAGUUUGAUCCUGGCUCAGGACGAACGCUGGCGGCGUGCCUAAUACAUGCAAGUCGAACGCUUCUUUUUCCACCGGAGCUUGCUCCACCGGAAAAAGAGGAGUGGCGAACGGGUGAGUAACACGUGGGUAACCUGCCCAUCAGAAGGGGAUAACACUUGGAAACAGGUGCUAAUACCGUAUAACAAUCGAAACCGCAUGGUUUUGAUUUGAAAGGCGCUUUCGGGUGUCGCUGAUGGAUGGACCCGCGGUGCAUUAGCUAGUUGGUGAGGUAACGGCUCACCAAGGCCACGAUGCAUAGCCGACCUGAGAGGGUGAUCGGCCACAUUGGGACUGAGACACGGCCCAAACUCCUACGGGAGGCAGCAGUAGGGAAUCUUCGGCAAUGGACGAAAGUCUGACCGAGCAACGCCGCGUGAGUGAAGAAGGUUUUCGGAUCGUAAAACUCUGUUGUUAGAGAAGAACAAGGAUGAGAGUAACUGUUCAUCCCUUGACGGUAUCUAACCAGAAAGCCACGGCUAACUACGUGCCAGCAGCCGCGGUAAUACGUAGGUGGCAAGCGUUGUCCGGAUUUAUUGGGCGUAAAGCGAGCGCAGGCGGUUUCUUAAGUCUGAUGUGAAAGCCCCCGGCUCAACCGGGGAGGGUCAU